UUAUGUGAUCGUCUCUCGCAUAUCAAUAAGCGGAGGAAAAGAAACUAACAAGGAUUCCCCUAGUAACGGCGAGUGAAGCGGGAAGAGCUCAAAUUUGAAAUCUUAAAGGGUUUCCCUUUACGAAUUGUAGUUUAAAGAAGUGUUUUCUGUUGAGGUUUUGGUAAAAGUUCUUUGGAAUAGGACAUCAUAGAGGGUGAGAAUCCCGUAUUUGACCUUUACUUUCAACUUUGUGAUACACUUUCAAAGAGUCGGAUUGUUUGGGAAUGCAGUCCAAAAUGGGUGGUAAAUUUCAUCUAAAGCUAAAUAUUGGCGAGAGACCGAUAGCGAACAAGUACCGUGAGGGAAAGAUGAAAAGAACUUUGAAAAGAGAGUUAAACAGUACGUGAAAUUGUCAGAAAGGGAAGCGUUUGACACCAGUGUUGUUUUUCUGAAAAUCAAUUAAAGAACUGUUUAUGCUAAGUUGUUUAGACUUUAUCAGCUAUCUGUUUAGUUUUGAGCUUUUCUUUAAUGCACUUUUCAGUUAACAAGUCAACAUCAAUUUCUUUUGCUGUAAAAAAGCUUGAGGAAGGUGGCUUGAGAUUCGUCUUAAGUGUUUAUAGCCUCUUGCCUAUGCAGUCGGAGAGAUUGAGGUCUGCAGCGUAGAUCCUUCGGGGCUAAAUGCAUUUGUGCUAAGUUAUAGCAUUUUAUAGACAACUUGUUGACUAUGAUUUGUCUUGUAGCUUACUCGCUUAUGUUAUUUUACCUACGCUUAGGAUGUUGAUAUGCAUGACUGAUAU
rnacentral:rRNA from 1 species